UACAGAGGGGGCAAGCGUUGUUCGGAAUUACUGGGCGUAAAGGGCGCGUAGGCGGCCUGUUAAGUCGGACGUGAAAUCCCUCGGCUCAACCGGGGAACUGCGUCCGAUACUGGCGGGCUUGAAUUCGGGAGAGGGAUGUGGAAUUCCAGGUGUAGCGGUGAAAUGCGUAGAUAUCAGGAGGAACACCGGUGGCGAAGGCGGUUCUCUGGGAAUGUCCUGACGCUGAGGAGCGAAAGUGUGGGGAGCGAACAGG
rnacentral:rRNA from 1 species